GGAAGAAAUAUAUCUAGUGCGAUUAUUUUGGACAGCUUGAUAUUAGAAUACUUGAUGGUGGCAUUUCUGUGAUCUGUGUAAUUUGUUUAUUUACUUAUUUAUUUGCCUUCAUGUAUAGAAAAUUGCGUAUCAUGUUUUGGUUUGUAACUGUAAGUUUGUCAUUCCGUGUUGACGCACAUAGUUGGCAAAACUCUCUCAUUUGCAACCAACCAGUAGCAACUGAUUUAGCAUUAGGCACUGAAGGGGAAUUUUUCUUUCAAAACAAGCAGAAAUCCACAUGAAUUAAUUCUUCCAAAAAAGAAAAUUCUUUUACCCCAUAUACUUUGUCUGCUUGCCAACAGGUUAAUAACUGUUUUUUUACACGCACACACAGAUAUUAGACUCGUG
rnacentral:misc_RNA from 1 species